AGUGAACGCUGGCGGUAGGCCUAACACAUGCAAGUCGAACGGCAGCACAGUAAGAGCUUGCUCUUACGGGUGGCGAGUGGCGGACGGGUGAGGAAUACAUCGGAAUCUACUUUUUCGUGGGGGAUAACGUAGGGAAACUUACGCUAAUACCGCAUACGACCUACGGGUGAAAGCAGGGGAUCUUCGGACCUUGCGCGAUUGAAUGAGCCGAUGUCGGAUUAGCUAGUUGGCGGGGUAAAGGCCCACCAAGGCGACGAUCCGUAGCUGGUCUGAGAGGAUGAUCAGACACACUAGAACUGAGACACGGUCCAUACUACUACGAGAGGCAGCAGUGGGGAAAAUUGGACAAUGGGCGCAAGCCUGAUCCAGCCAGACCGCGUGGGUGAAGAAGGCCUUCGGGUUGUAAAGCCCUUUUGUUGGGAAAGAAAAGCAGCAGGUUAAUACCCCGCUGUUCUGACGGUACCCAAAGAAUAAGCACCGGCUAACUUCGUG
rnacentral:rRNA from 1 species